rnacentral:rRNA from 1 species
GGAGUUUGGACCGUGUCUCAGUUCCAAUGUGGGGGACCUUCCUCUCAGAACCCCUACUGAUCGUCGCCUUGGUGGGCCGUUACCCCGCCAACAAGCUAAUCAGACGCAUCCCCAUCCCAUAGCGGUAAACCUUUAUUCCUCGUUAGAUGCCUGCAAAGGAAAACAUAGGGUAUUAAUCCGCAUUUCUACGGGCUAUGCCCUACUAUGGGGAAGGUUGGAUACGCGUUACUCACCCGUGCGCCGGUCGCCAUCAAUCAAAGCAAGCUUCGAUUAUGCUGCCCCUCGACUUGCAUGUGUUAAGCCUGUAGCUAGCGUUCAUC